rnacentral:lncRNA from 1 species
UCCAACCUCUGCGUUUUUGGACUGGUAAGACCAAUCACAAUCUAUUGUUUAUCAAUGAGGUCAUCGUGAUGCUUUUUCAGCAUUUUCAGCCUGUUUAAAAGUGUUGUCGUAACGGAAAUGCGAUCAACUUUCUGAUUGAACUUCGAUUCACCAGGGUCAACAUCGGCGAAUUCAAGCGACAUAUCGUUGAACACAAACUUGUUUGUUAUGAAACUAGAGCUCGCUUGAGCGCAUAAAUUGAGGGUUGUAAAGAGAAUAGAGUUUGUAAGAGAGCCGACAUGAGAGAGGACUAUGAGAGAUGAUGAGAGAGGG